ACAUUGUUUAUUCCACACAUUAUUAUAAAUUAUAAAUCUACUCCAAAUAAAUGAGGAUCUAUAAAUUGAUGGGUACGUAAUUAGAAUUACUGACUACAAAGGGUAAUAUGCAAACCACCUAUAAAUCAUAGCAAGACACUCUUCAGGUUUGUACUCUGGAGCUGUGUGACCGGCUCCCUGCACUAAGUUAGGAGAAUCUGCAUAGAAACUAUCCAGCCAUGUUUUAGCCUCAAAUGUCCUUCAAAUCCGGCUCAAAAUAGCUUGUUUUAAUUAUCAGGACGUUCCGAACACAUCUCUAGAAGGCCACGAAACCAUCCGAGAUUAUCUUGGGCUCCAAAAAUGUAAUUCAAGCCCAAAACGUCACUAUUCCAGCACCAUGCAUCGCUCUUUUAUUCUAUUGUCAGAAAAUAACCGCCUAGUGGAAAAAUCUGAUAUUUUGAUAUGAUCAAGCUGAGUGACUCACGAACGUCCUCCAAUUUGAACCACUCCAAAAUUCAUCCGUUUGGUCAUGUUUUGCUCUAGAGGAAAUCAACUAUCCUAUAUUGAAAAUACAAUUUAAAGUAUCAAAAUUCUUCCAAAAUAUUAACCAAAAUAUACUAAGAACAGGGUAAAAUAUAUAAUAUGAAAUUGACUCAUCAAUGCUCCUCUUGAAUCAGCAGAUCAUAACAGUCAUCAAAGGAAAGAAAAGAGCGAAGAUGAACCGAUGUCUUAAACUCCUUAUGUUCUUGACCAUGCCCGUCAAGAAUGGAUUCAAUAAGCUCAUAGUCUGUGAUGCCGGAACUAGCAUAGUGAAGAGAAUCAGAAAGGCUUCGAGCAUGUAGUAACUACUCAUGCAUAGGUUGCUCGGGAUUUUCUUCAGAUUUUGGAGUUGGUGUCGAACAGUGCGAAUGUGAGUCUUAGAGAGAGGAGAGAGAAGCUUCUCCAAGAGUGACCAUGCGUCAUAACCAGUGGUACAAGAAAGCAAGAUAGGCUUGAUGGAGGAGGAGCAAGUUUGCUUUAAUCCAACCAAAGACAAGUUUGUCUUGAGAGUCGGCGAGAUUGACAGAGCUGUCGUCGAGCUUUUUGGAGGGUUUAGAAUUGCAGGCCACAGUGUUUUCGAGACCAUGAAUCUCUGAGAUCGUCAACUGAGAUAAUUGGUACGAUCCAUAGAGUGUUGAUCAUGUGAGAGAUAUUGAAGGUAGUGGGAAGGGUUGUGGUGAUGGUUGUCAUGGUUGAAGAAGAAUCAGACAAGAGAGCAGCAGAAGAUAAGAUGUUUGACGAGGAUGUAGUAGAGGCCAUAGAGGAUCGAAAUUGAGUAGUUUAGCUGUUGGUUAAGGCUGAUACCAUGUAUAGAAUCAGAAUAUGAAGGCGAUGAGAAAACAGAAUAUGCAGAGAGUAAGUUGUCAAGAAAGAGAGAUCUUAUACUUUGGGAGAAUAGCUUGAUUGAUCUUUACUAUCUCAAUUGGUACAGAUAUACAAGUACGUACAUCAUUGACUUUUGUAUAGCAAUUACAGGUAAAGAAAUAGUACGAUUAAUGUAAUACAAUUAGUGUUGGAAAUUUUGAGUAGAAAUUUCAUUGUCCCACAUUGGUCACUACCAAAAGAUUUCCUCACUUUAGAAGGCUUUGUCCCUUAUAAAAAGUAAUUGGAGUGAUGGACCUUGGAAAAUAAAAUUGGGCUCACCCUUGGGCUCACUUUAAUUAAUUAAUUAUUUUUUUUACCAACAGAUAAGUUUGAGGUCUGGUGAAAGAACGCAGAGACCAAACACCCAUCUGAGAAGAUGUCUCCCAACAUAUGCAUUAAUUCUCCGUACUUGUUGCAAACAUGCAUAAUCAUAUUAUAUAUAUAUCCAUCUGCAUGACAUUUAGAACACAGAAAAACAUAAUUCUCCUUCUACAAGCCAAAGCAUUCUUACUGAGAGAAUCACAAAGAAAUUCGUCAGAAGUUAAGUUUUCCGGUGCUGGAAUUUUUACUUGAUCGUUGAAUCUUGGUGAAGCAGACGUCCGUAGAAUUCUACAAGCACUUAGUAGUGAUGAAAUUUCUAUUUCAAGGACAUUGUGGUACGUAAGCCUCGAUCUUUUGUUUAUCUACUUAAUUAUUAUUGCAUUCUGUUUAUAUUCUGUAAAAUAUUUAUUCGCAUUUAUUAUUAGCAUAUAUAAAUUUGUCAUAGAUUGUUGAUAUUUUUCUAACAAUCAGCAAGUUUAAUAUGAUGGAGGAGGUCUUGGCUGAGUGGAAACAAUUGAGGGAUUGUUGUCUGGUUGACUGGUGCAACGUUCCUCUGCAGAUUUGGUGAACUAUUGGAUGCAAACUGAUGAUCUGUUUAGAAUGUUGAUGAAUGAUGAUUCUUUGUUAACAAGUUUAUGAAGUCAGGACGUAGUGAUUGGGAUGGGAAAGUAGAUACUGGUGGCUGCAAGAAUUCAAGUGAGGGUGCUAAAGAGGAUCUGCCAAGUGCAAGUAGGAAAAACUAUUGGUCUUUUGAGUCCAAGAAAACGUAUAGGGGAGGAGUUUGCUGCAGAAGCAGGUAACCUUUGUCUUGACGAAAUUGAGUGAUGAGAAGCAUGUUAUGGAAUCACAGGGGUCUGCCUAGACCUGGUUUCGUGUCACAACUUAGAUUUGUGUGUGGUUAACAAACUGGACCCUCUUUUUAUCGUAGAAUUCGGAAGGAAGAAGUGGGUGUAGCUUUGAAGAAGAUGAAGCAUAGAAAAGCAGUAGGCCCAGACGAUAUACCAAUCGAAGUGUGGAAAGUUUUGGGAGAGACAGGUAUAACAUGGCUCACUGACCUUUUCAAUAGGAUUUUGAAAACGAAGAAGAUGCCAAAUGAGUGGCGAACGAGCACUUUGGUGCCUAUCUACAAGAAUAAGGGCGACGUACAAAAUUGCAUGAACUAUAGGGGUAUUAAGCUAAUGAGUCAUACAAUGAAGCUCUGGGAGAGAGUCAUUGAGCAUAGAUUGAGGCAAGAGACACGGGUUUCGGACAACCAAUUCGGGUUCAUGCCAGGGCGCUCAACCAUGGAGGCAAUCUAUCUCCUACGAAGAUUGAUGGAAAGAUAUAGAGAUGGGAAAAAGGAUUUACACAUGGUCUUUAUAGAUUUGGAAAAAGCGUAUGAUAGGGUCCCAAGAGACAUUCUUUGGAGGAUUUUAGAGAAGAAAGGAGUACGAGUAGCAUAUAUCCAAGCUAUAAAGGAUAUGUAUGAAGGAGCAAAGACUGCCGUAAGAACUCAUGAAGGACAAACCGAAAGCUUUCCCAUAACUGUAGGAUUACAUCAAGGCUCAUCCUUAAGUCCUUACCUUUUUGCGUUGGUAAUGGAUGAGUUAACAGGACAUAUUCAAGAUGAUAUUCCUUGGUGUAUGCUUUUCGCAGACGAUAUAGUGUUGAUAGAUGAAACUCAGGAAGGGGUAAAUGCAAAGCUUAACCUUUGGAGAGAAGUGUUGGAAUCUAAAGGUCUUCGCCUAAGCCGAUCAAAGACAGAAUAUAUGGAGUGCAAGUUCAGUGCAAAUGGAGGCCAAAACGAGUUAGGGGUGAGGAUCGGAGAUCAAGAAAUACCAAAGAGCGACCGUUUUCGUUACCUAGGAUCUAUCUUGCAAAAGAACGGAGAAUUAGAUGGAGAUCUCAACCAUAGAAUACAAGCUGGAUGGAUGAAGUGGAAGAGUGCAUCCGGCGUGUUGUGUGACCGCCGUAUGCCACUGAAGCUCAAGGGAAAAUUUUAUAGGACGGCAAUAAGGCCGGCGAUGCUGUAUGGCACAGAAUGUUGGGCGGUGAAGCAUCAACACGUACACAAAAUGGGUGUAGCGGAGAUGAGGAUGCUUCGUUGGAUGUGUGGGCACACGAGAAAGGAUAAGAUUAGGAAUGAGGAUAUCCGGGGUAAAGUAGGAGUAGCCGAAAUUGAAGGAAAGAUGAGAGAAAAUCGGUUACGGUGGUUUGGACAUGUGCAAAGAAGGCCUACUGACGCUCCGAUUAGAAGAUGCGACUAUGGGACAGAGGUUCAGGGCCGAAGGGGUAGAGGAAGACCUAGGAAAACUUUGGAAGAGACUCUAAGAAAAGACUUAGAGUACUUGGAUCUAACGAAGGACAUGACACAGGAUCGAGCACAAUGGCGUUCUAAGAUUCAUAUAGCCGAUCCCACUCAGUGACUUGGAUUUUCCAAGUCUCCAACCGAGAAGUUUUCCUCACUCGGGAAAUUAAGGGAACACUACCCUCAACCUACAUGCUCCACUCAGAAAGCUUCAACAUACAAGCUUCAACAAAAGAAAAUUCAAAGAACUUAGCGAAGAAGGCUUUGGUGUAUUUAACACAAUACGUUGAAAUGAAGGAAAGCUUAUUUAUUGAUAUCCCCGAUAAGCUACAAAUAUGUACAUAUACAUGAGUCAAAAUAAACAAACAAGAGGGAGCCUUCACAAAGGUUGCUUAGGAGAAGUCUCAGCAGUCGGUAGAGCCCCAGAAAGAGAAGGCACCGGAGGGGGAUCAUUUCGGAGCCUCAGUACUGGACAGAACCCUAGAAGGAGGAGGCAUCAGAGGUUGAUCAUUUGGAGCUUCAUUACGCGGUACAGCCCCAGAAGACGAAGGCAAUAAAUGCCUUUGGAACAAACCCACAAAUCUCUGAUGAUCAAGUAAAACCUGACCAUCAGUUUCCUUCAUCUGGUCAAGCUUCCUCUUCAUGUUUGUAGCAUAGUCAUGUGCGAGCCGGUGCAACUGUUUAUUCUCAUGCUUGAGCCCUCUAAUCUCCUGUUUGAGACUCAUCACUUCAGCCGCCAAUGAUUCAACUUGGCGGGUUCGAGCAAAUAGGCGUUGGGCCAUAUUAGACACAGAACCUGCACACUGAACACUGAGAGCCAGCGAAUCCUUAACAGCUAACUCAUCAGACCGUUUGGAAAGUAGUCUGUUAUCUUUGGGAGUGAGAAGGUUCCUGGCCACCACCGCAGCGGUCAUAUCAUUCUUCAUCACGGAAUCCCCAACGGUAAGAGGACCAGUAGGGGAGACGAAGGAUGGGCGCCAUAUGUUGUCUGGAGAAGGCGGGGCUGCCUCUUCAACAAGGUUCAAGUCAAAACGACGGUCGGAGGGGCCAGACAUUUUCAAAGGUGUUGAAGAGAGAAGAGGUCGGACAAAUCAAGAUCUUAGAAGUGCAAGAAUGGAAGCUUCUACUGGUGGAGAUUCAAGUGUGCUUUGGAACUUAAUGCCAGCCCCUAUAAAAAUCUGCACUCGACGGAAGCUUCAGAAAUCGAAGAGGCGCCUGCUCAGAAAUCGAAGAGGCGUUUGCUUUCUCAAAAGCUGGGCUGCUUCAGAGACCACGAGGGUUGAUCUCAGAAAUCGAAGAGGCGUUUGCUUUCUCAAAAGUUGGGCUGCUCAAAGACCACGAAGGCCGAUCUCAGAAAUCGAAGAGGCGCUCGCUUUCUCAAAAGCUGGGCUCCUCAGAGACCACGAGGGCCGAUCUCAGAAAUCGAAGAGGCACCUACUUUUUCCAGCCUUGUCAGCACCUGUCACACGCACACUCAGCUUUGCGGAAAUUAUGGGCAUUCUGUCGAAGACUUCUGGGGAAGUAGAAAAGCACAUGAAUCUUACUGUUCAAUCACCCACUUCCCACACGCAACAAUAGCUCAUGGGUACCACAGAUAACUUUGCCAAAGUUCUCUGCCAAAGUUGAGACACGUGAAGCUUGCAGCUCCCACUACAUCGCUCUGACCAAGAAGGGUAAAAGAAUAGCAAAGAAACAGCACUAACAAAGUUUAGACACAUAAAUUUUGAAGGUCUAGCUACCAUAUUAUUACCCACAAGGGUAAAGGAACAGUACCACUGCUGGAUAAUUGGAAAGUCCCUGUGUGUCAACCUCUGUGCUUCGUGGCAAGGUAGACUAGCAAACAUGCCCAACCUUUACUCACAUUCGAGAAAACACUCCCAACAAGAUUGCUUGCUCCAAAAUCGAAGAGGCACCGUCCUCCGAAUCUCGAGAGCCAGACUCCCAACAUGACUACUUUCUCAAAAAUCGAAGAGAGGGUAAAGGAACAGUACCAUUGCUGGAUAAUUGGAAAGUCCCUGUGUGUCAACCUCUGUGCUUCGUGGCAAGGUAGACUAGCAAACAUGCCCAACCUUUACUCACAUUCGAGAAAACACUCCCAACAAGAUUGCUUGCUCCAAAAUCGAAGAGGCACCGCCCUCCGAAUCUCGAGAGCCAGACUCCCAACAUGAUUACUUUCUCAAAAAUCGAAGAGAGGGGUAAAGGAACAGUACCACUGCUGGAUAAUUGGAAAGUCCCUGUGUGUCAACCUCUGUGCUUCGUGGCAAGGUAGACUAGCAAACAUGCCCAACCUUUACUCACAUUCGAGAAAACACUCCCAACAAGAUUGCUUGCUCCAAAAUCGAAGAGGCACCGCCCUCCGAAUCUCGAGAGCCAGACUCCCAACAUGAUUACUUUCUCAAAAAUCGAAGAGACACCGCUCUCCGAAUCUCGAGAGCCAGACCCCCAGCAUGAUUGCUUUCUCAAAAAUCGAAGAGGCAUCGUUCUCCGAAUCUCGAGAGCCAAAACCCCCGACAGGUCUGUAAUCUUCACACGCAACAUCAGCUUUCCAGAUACCACAGACCACUUUUUCAAAGUGCUCUGACAGAGUUAAAACAUGUGUGAAGCUGGCAGCUCCCACUACCGUGCUAUGACCAAGCAGGGUAAAGGAAUAGCAUUACUACUUGAUGUUAGGGAGACUCCUAUAUAUGUCGACCUCCAUCCCCAACGGACAGGCAGACCUGCAAAAAUGCUCAACCCUUUCUCAUAUCUGAGAGGGCACUCCCAACGAAGCCUUUCGAAAUAUUCAGCUUUCUUUCCCCCCGAUAAUACCUCUGCAAACAAGCUAUACUAGAGCAAGAAUAUCUCAUAUCAUCAGGGUUAAAAGCAAGAGUAUCCCAUAUCAUGCUUUUUCCCUGUCUUUUCCUUUGGCCUUGUUCUUACCUGCAAGACAAGGAGAAAGAGAGCAAUCAGUCAGCACUUGGAAUCAAGCUUCCAGCCAGGAACUGACUGCCUGGAACCCCUUACCUGAUUACUUACCUGGCAUUGCUCUCGAGUACUCAUCUUCAACAUCUUAUGCUUCCAGGGAAGAUACCGCAUCUGCCUGAGGAACAGAUAGGGCAAGUGAGAAGGAUACAAGGAAGCAUGUGGAGACAAGCGUAACAGCACACGUGCCGAUACAUCCAUUACUCUGUCAAAAGCAAAAGUAUCCCAUAUCAGCAGGGUCGAACGUACUCUAGAUUUGAUGGACUUGUUUUGACCCUCAAAUUCUUCAGUCGGCCUUAUACUCUGGAGGAAACCAGAAAACCCUCCAGCCCAGUUCAAGAAUAAGCCUGUGGAAAGUUACUUCUUCAAAAGCAAAAGUAUCCCAUAUCAUCUCUUCUCAUUUUUCUUCUCUUUAUCCUUCAUGCUGCCUGCAAGAUAGGGGAGAAUGUGAACAAUCAGCCGGAGCUCUGAUUGCUUACCUUGUCUGUCACCUCUUUCAGCAGAUCCCCCUAGCUCGGCGACUUGGGGGACUCCUACUACAUGGUUUGUAUCGCGCUUGACCAAGCCUGAAACUACAAGUAAGCUUCAAGUGAAAUUGAUACAUUACCUUGUGCAUCUCCACCAGUUACAGAUACCACCCCUGGAUGGAGGAAGAGUACUUCCAGAGAAGAUGCCACAUCUACCUAUGAGACAGAUAAGGCAAGUCAAGACGAUACCACACUCCGGUACUUAGAAGUUUCGUGAUUACGAGAUCAUUCUCCCACAAUAUUUCCUAAUGUCAUUUGUACUAAAUCAUUCACUUGUACUCACUAAAGGAGAGCUUGAACCUAUGUACUUGUGUAAACCCUUCACAAUUAAUGAGAACUCCUCUAUUCCGUGGACGUAGCCAAUCUGGGUGAACCACGUACAUCUUGUGUUUGCUUUCCUAUCUCUAUCCAUUUAUAUACUUAUCCACACUAAUGACCGGAGCAAUCUAGCGAAGAUCACAAAAAGCGACCGUUUUUCGCUACCUAGGAUCUAUCUUGCAAGAGAACGGAGAAUUAGAUGGAGAUCUCAACCAUAGAAUACAAGCUGGAUGGAUGAAGUGUAAGAGUGCAUCCGGCGUGUUGUGUGACCGUCGUAGGCCACUGAAGCUCAAGGGAAAAUUUUAUAGGACGGCAAUAAGGCCAGCGAUGUUGUAUGGCACAGAAUGUUGGGCGGUGAAGCAUCAACACGUACACAAAAUGGGUGUAGCGGAGAUGAGGAUGCUUCGUGGGAUGUAUGGGCACACGAGAAAGGAUAAGAUUGUGAAUUAGGAUAUCCGAGGUAAAGUAGGAGUAGCCAAAAUUGAAGGAAAUAUGAGAGAAAAUCGGUUCCGGUGGUUUGGACAUGUGCAAAGAAGGCCUACUGACGCUCCGGUUCGAAAAUGUGACUACGGGACAGAGGUUCGGGGCCGAAGGAGUAGAGGAAGACCUAGGAAAACUUUGGAAGAGACCUAAGAAAAGACUUAGAGUACUUGGAUCUAACGGAGGACAUGACACAAAUGAGCGCAAUGGCGUUCUAGGAUUCAUAUAGCCGACCCCACUUAGUGGGAAAAGGCUUUGUUGUUGUUGUUGUUGUAAAUUUAAUGCAGUAGGUUGUCGAAGGGCUGGUGGCCUUUGUUUGUUCUGGGAAUCAAAUGUCUUGAAUAUCAAUAUAAUAUGCUCUUUUGAUCGUUGUAUAAAUGCUACUUUGCAUGAUCUUGUUUGUGAUACAAGUUAUUUGAUUACUUUAGUGUAUGCGUAACCUCAGAAAGAAUUACAAUAGGAAUUAUGGAUUAAAAUUCUUACACCGAACCCAAAUAACGAUCCUUGGUUACUCUUGGGAGAUUUUAACAAUAUCCUAAACUUGGAUGUAACAAUAACUAUGUACAUGAUUGAUUUCAACAAUUUUACAAGUGAUGGUAAUCUUGUCUCUAUACCUGCUUCUGGAGUUCCUUUCAGUUGGACAAAUGAACCUAAGAUAACUCGGUAGUUUUUGAAAGGUUAGACCGUGUUUAAUUUUGCUAUUUCGAGUGGCUAAAUCUGUUUGAAAAGGUUCAUUUACACAGCUUGCCAAUAUUUGGCUCGGACCUUAGUCCUAUUAUAGUUCAAUGUAAUAAUAUUGGCUAUAAAAGGAAGAACUCUUUCAAGUUUGAGGCAAUGUGGCUUAAUCACUCUGAAUUCAAUCAAUUUGUUAAAGACAAUUGGCAAUGUAAUUUAUCUAGACGCCCAAAUGAUAUGUUUAGAGCGUGCGUUGAAGUGUUUAAAUUCAAUAUGAAAAGAUGAAACACAGCUCUCUCUAGUAAUGUGCAAAAGAAAAUUGAACACCUCCCGACUAAGCUUACAAUGAUAGACCCUAAAUCAACCUUGACUCUUAAGCUGCCAUAGAAGUCGAGAGAGAAUAUGAACAAGAAGAAGACAAUACUAUUUUUAUAACAUAUCCUUUGUAUCUUACAAUUCCUGCUAUAUAGCAACUAACCACAACAAUCUUUUCCUAUUACAACCAACUAACAACUUUUACAGCUAAUACAAUCUUAUUCACUAAUAUGAUGACACUUGACACCAUCUCAGUUGUCAUACAACAAUCAUUUAUCCUUUAGAUUCCUAUCAAUUACUCCCCCCUUUGAAAUUAGCCUUGUCCUCAAGGCUGGAAGUCAGGAAAUCGAGCUUUCAAAUCAUCCAAACGCUCCCAAGAUGCAUUGGCAACAUGAUGAUUCCGCCAAUGCACUAAGACUUCGUUGACAGGAGUCGACCCAUGUUUAAUGACCCGUCGAUCCAGGAUAGCUGUUGGUUCAUCCUGAAUCAGACCUGCAUCAUAAGCAGAUGGAAGCGGUAUAGUAGUAGAGGCUGAUGUGCCCAGUUGUUUCUUGAGACAAGAAACAUGGAAAACUGGAUGAAUCUUAGAAUGAGGUGGCAACCUUAACUUGUAGGUUACAUGUCUGACCUUCGUAAGAAUUUCAAAGGGACCAUAAAACCGAGGAUGCAAUUUAUGAUAACGAUGUAGAGCAAGGGACUUUUGUUGGUAAGGUUCCAACCUGAGAUACACAUAAUCACCAACUUCAAAAGACCUCUCAGUUCGAUGUUUAUCUGCCUGACUUUUCCUUCUUACUUGAGCUGCUUCCAGAUUGGUCUUGAGAAGAGAUAAAAUCCGAGUUCGAUCUUGUAAACACUGAUCCACCGAGUCAAUCUUCGUAGUUCCAGAUUCAUAGAUUGGAAUAUGUGGAGGAGACUGCUCAUACACUACUUCAUAAGGUGUAAGUUUCGUUGCAGUAGGAUAAGAUGUAUUGUAACUCCAUUCCACCCAUGGAAGCCAUUUCAACCAUUACUUGGGCUCUAAGCUACAAAAACACCUUAAGUAUGUUUUUAAACAUCGAUUUAAAACCUCAGUAUGUCCAUCAGUUUGGGGGUGAAAUCCUAAACUAAGACACAAUCUGGAGCCUUGAAGUUUAAAGAACUUUUUCCAAAAAGAGCUGAUGAAAAUAAGGUCUCAAUUUGAGACAAUGGAGGUUGGCAUCCCAUGUAGUUUGAACACUUGAUCGAUGAAAAGCUGAGCUACGGAGUGAGCAGUAUAAGGAUGAGACAUGGAUAAAAAGUGUGCAGCUUUUGAAAGUCGGUCAACCAUAACAAAUAUGACAGAUUUGCCUCUACAAGGAGGAAGUCCAGUGAUGAAGUCCAUGGAUAUGUCAGUCCACACUCUUUGGGGAAUAGGUAAAGGAUUCAGUAGUCUUGCGGGAACAAGGAACUCAUACUUGUUUUUCUGACAGAUAUCACAACCAACAACCAUAUCCCUGAAGUUGUUCUUCAUACCUUCCCAAUAAAAAGACUUAGGGAUGCGUUUAUAAGUCUUAAGAAAACCUGCAUGACCUGCACUAGGUGUGCAGUGAAACUCUUCAAACAAUUUCACCCUUCAAGAACUUGUAGGACUUAGGACAAUCCUAUUUUUGUAUCUCAAAAAACCAUUAGCAAAGUGAUAUCUCAAGAAUUGUAAUGGAAUAGAAUCCGAAGUUUUAUUCAAAACUGAUUGUGAUUUGGCUAAGAUCUAAUCAUCUUGCUCAACAUGUCGACGAAGGUCAUCGAGCCAAGACAUAUAAGGAUAAGAUAUGGCAGUAAGUUCACUGCCAAGUACUCCCGGAAGCACGGAAUUAGGAGCAAUACUAUUCAUGGCAGAAACAUCCAGAGUAGUUGAAGUAGUGUCAGGUGGAAUCCUCGAAUUUGAGAACAUUCGAGACAAAGCAUUUGCUGCCUUGUUAUCAUUCCCUUUCUUGUACUGAAUUUCGUAAUCAAAACCAAGUAAUUUCGAAACCCAUUUUUGUUGAAAAGGAGAAUUAGCACGAUUCUGCAGAAAAUACUUGAGGCUAUGAUAAUCUGUUCGUAUAAUGAAAUGGUUCCCAUGGAGAUACGAUUGCCAUUUCUUAACUGCAUGAAUUACGGCUAACAUUUCCCUUUCAUAAGUCGAUAAAGCCUGAUUCUUUGGUCCUAAAGACUGGCUUGUAAAAGCAAUCGGCCUACCCUCUUGUUGCAACACUGCUCAUUUACCCGUACCUGAAGCAUCACUCUCAAUAAUGAAGGGUUUUGAAAAAUCUGGGAGAGCCAAGACUGUAGGAGACAUCAUGGCACUCUUGAGUUCUUGAAAUGCGGCCAUUGCUGCAGGGGUCUAAUGAAAUCCAUCAUUUUUAGUGAGUGGAGUCAAAGGACCACAAAUUUUGCCAUAAUAGGGAAUAAAUUUUCUGUAAUACGCAAUGAGGCCUAAAAAACCCGUUAAACUUUCAUAGAAGGCGGUUUAGGCCACUGUGCAAUUGCUUUUAAUUUUGAAGGGUCAGCAGCCACUCCUUUGUCAGAAACUGUAUACCCCAAAUACUCAAUUUGCGUUGCACACUUAGAGAGCUUGACAAAGAGGUGAUUAUCUUGCAGUAAACUCAAAACAAGAUUCAAGUGAUGGAGAUGUAAUUCCCAAGAAGCACUAUAUAUCAAAAUAUUGUCAAAAAAUACCAAGAUAAACUUCCGCAAAUAAGGUUUGAAAAUCUCAUUCAUUAGACCUUGAAAGGAGGCUGGGGCGUUAGUUAAGCCAAAUGGCAUAACAAGGAAUUCAUAAUGUCCCUCAUGAGUUCGAAAUGCCGUUUUAUCAAAAUCCUUGGGAUGCAUACGAAUCUGGUGAUAGCCCGACCGAAGAUCCAGUUUUGAGAAAUACUUGGCACCAAAGAGUUCAUCUAAGAGCUCAUCAAUCAAUGGUAUAGGAUAUUUGUCUUUCAUUGUGAACAAAUUGAGUGCCCUAUAAUCCAUGCACAUUCUCCAAGUACCCUCUUUUUUCUUCACCAACAAAACUAGAGAGGAAAAAGGACUAUGGCUUGGUCUUAUAAAACCAGAAUCUAGCAAUUCUUAGACACAUUGUUCGAUUUCAGUCUUUUGGAAAGGACCAUAUUUGUAGGGUCUUGCACUAGGAGGCUUGCACCCUUCUAUUAAAGGAAUCCUGUGAUCAUGUGACCGUGACGGAGGCAACCCUGAUAGUGGUUGAAAUAUAGACUGAAAUUGAUUUAACAAAACCUACAGAUCCUGUUCUUGUGGAAAAGGCAGUUGCCGAGGAUUGGAAGGAAGUAUAGUCUCCUCACUGAAUUGUAAAACAAAUAGUGCAACUCCCAAACAAUGAUCAUGAUUGAGUAAUCUAUCCAUUUGCAAGGAAGAUAUUGACUGAGGAUCUUGAACUUGAGGACUUGUGAUAGAGAAGGUAGUAAUGCCAACAACAAACUGCAUAACCAUUUUUUCAAAAUCCCACAAAAAGGGUCCCAACAUUCUUAACCACUGUACGCCAAGAACAAUAUCGCACCCUCUCAAAGGAAUAGCGUAAAAAUCCAACACAGCUGCAUAAUUCUGAAUUCUCACAGAGACUUGUGCUAAACAACCCGGAAUGGUGAGUGAACCUCCAUUUGCAAUUUUAACAGAAAAUGGUUGUGUAGUAUCUAAGUGACCCUUCAACUGUUUUACUAAAGCAAUGUCAAUGAAAUUGUGAGAGCUACCUUAAUCUAUCAAAAAAAUAGCAGGACAAUUCAACACCAACCCAUUGACUUUCAUAGUUCGAAUAGACUUUGGAGCAGGCAUACCAUAAACUGCACAAGCCAUAACUUCAGGUUCAUCAGUAUCAUCAGAUUCAUGCUCAAUCAAAUGGCCAUUUUCAUACACAUCUAUCAGUAAAAUUUGACAUUUAGGACCAGCACACACAUGGUCUUUAGAAAAUUUCUCAUCACAAUUGAAACACAAUCUAUUCUUUCUUCGAAACUCAAUUUCUGCAACUGUUAGUCGUCGAAAAUUAUCAUUUUGUGUUGAAGAUUCAGGUUUUGGUAUAUUGGUAAUGUCAGACAGAUGAGUAGGCUUGAAUUGUGAUGUAGGGAAUGGAUUUCUUGAAAAAGAUUUUACCUUGAGCUCUGCCAAUUUAGCAUCCACUUGUUGCGAAUAGGCUAUAGCUUCAUGAACAUCGAAAGGGCGAAGGAUCUUGACAUCAUGCUGAAUCUCCGGUUUUAAACCCCAAUGAAGCAACUUUUUAAGAUUCUUGGAGUCAUUUCCAUAGUACGAUUCGCUAAUCGACGGAAUUCCUAAUCCCUGAGUAACCCAGUUUGGUGAAGCUUCACUAAAUUCUCAGUGCAAUCCACAAGAUCAGGUGAUCCAAAUUUGCGACAAAAAAUCUUUGUGAAAUCUUCCCAUUUAGGGUAAUUCUUGACACAAUUCACCCAUUGAAACCACUGAAAUGCUUCAUUUUCCAUGUCGAAGGAGGCCAUUCGAACCUUCUUAUCUUCUGGAAUGGUGAAGUAAUCAAAGUAGUGCUCCACUUUAUAAACCUAGCCGAGAGGGUCAUCACCUUCGUGAAAUCGAGGAAAAUCCAAUUUCACCAAUGGAGGUCUUGGGUGAAAACCUGAAUCUUGGCGAUUGAAUUGUUGAUUUCUUGCAUCUUCAUGCAAAUUGGGAUCUGAAGGGGUCACAUCUGAGGAGUCCACAUGAAAAACCAUAUCACAUUUCGCACAAAAUCGCGAAAUUUCUCAAAUCGAGCGUCGGAUGAAUCUUGGCGUUCUUCCAUGGCGUCAAACCUCUGAAGUAGGAUGUUGAGAGUGUUGUUUAUUGCAGAAAGUUGAUUCUAUGGAUCCAUGGCUUUCUUUGUAGAAGCAUGAGUCAUACGGUACAGAGAAGGGAUGAAAGAUCGUGAUUGGCUCUGAUGAUACCAAUGAUAGACCCUAAAUCAACCUUGACUCUUAAGCUGCCAUAGAAGUCGAGAGAGAAUAUGAACAAGAAGAAGACAAUACAAUUUUUAUCACAUAUCCUUUGUAUCUUACAAUUCCUGCUAUAUAGCAACUAACCACAACAAUCUUUUCCUAUUACAACCAACUAACAACUUUUACAGCUAAUACAAUCUUAUUCACUAAUAUGAUGACACUUGGCACCAUCUCAGUUGUCAUACAACAACCAUUUAUCCUUUAGAUUCCUAUCAUACAACACAUUGUUUAUUCCAUACAUUAUUAUAAAUUAUAAAUCUACUCCAAAUAAAUGAGGAUCUAUAAAUUGAUGGGUACGUAAUUAGAAUUACUGACUACAAAGGGUAAUAUGCAAACCACCUACUAAUCAUAGCAAGACACUCUUCAGGUUUGUACUCUGGAGCUGUGUGACCGGCUCCCUGCAUUAAGAGAAAAAUUUAGUCAGCUUUUGCUCAAGCAAACUCUAGUAUCUAUGAAAAAUUAAGUUCAUGAAGGUUCUUGGCUUCUUGCCUUUAUAGUCGUGAAUGUCAACU
rnacentral:lncRNA from 1 species